CGGGCUUGAACUGCCAGCGAACGAUUCAGAGAUGAUGAGGUCCUUCGGGACGCUGGUGGAGGUGCUGCAUGGUUGUCGUCAGCUCGUGCCGUGAGGUGUCGGCUUAAGUGCCAUAACGAGCGCAACCCCUGUCGUCAGUUGCCAUCAGGUUAUGCUGGGCACUCUGGCGAUACUGCCACCGCAAGGUGCGAGGAAGGUGGGGAUGACGUCAAAUCAGCACGGCCCUUACGUCCGGGGCUACACACGUGUUACAAUGGCGUGUACAGAGAGUCGGUCCAUGGCGACAUGGAUCCAAUCGACAAAGCACGUCUCAGUUCGGAUUGGGGUCUGCAACCCGACCCCAUGAAGCUGGAUUCGCUAGUAAUCGCGCAUCAGCCAUGGCGCGGUGAAUACGUGCCCGGGCC
rnacentral:rRNA from 1 species